CCUACGGGUGGCAGCAGUGGGGAAUUUUGCGCAAUGCUCGUAAGAGUGACGCAGCGACGCCGCGUGAAUGACGAAGGCCUUCGGGUCGUAAAGUUCUUUCGACAGGGAAGAAAAUGCCUAUAAGUAACUGUGUAUGUAUUGACGGUACCUGUAUAAGCAGCCCCGGCUAACUCCGUCCCAGCAGCCACGGUAAUACGGAGGGGGGGAGCCUUGUUCGGGGUGACUGGGCGUAAAGAGCACGUAGGCGGUGUUUUAAGUCAUUAGGCAAAGACUAGAGCUCAACUUUAGCAAGUCUAGUGAUACUAUAAUACUAGAGUAUCGGAGAGGAUGGCAGAAUUCCUGGUGUAGCGGUGAAAUGCGUAGAUAUCAGGAGGAAUACCGUUAGCGAAGGCGGCAAUCUGGCUGGAAACUGACGCUCAUGCACGAAAGCGUGGGUAUCGAACAGGAUUAGAUACCCCAGUAGUC
rnacentral:rRNA from 1 species